GGGCUGCUAGCAGGCUGUCACCUCUCAAUAGCAGUUUUGUAUAUGGGAUCUAGCCCCUCCCUAAGAGGUUGAUUCUAAGGAAGCCAACAGCCGUGUUGUGAGUACCCAAUGGAAAGUCUGUUGUGGCAGAAAACUGAUGUCUCCAGCCAACAGCACUGAGGCCCUGAGACCUGCCAACUGUCAUGUUACAUCUCAAGGAGAAGGAUUGCCAGAUCAAAAGUCUUGCAGUUAACCAGGCGUGGUGGCAGAUACCUGUAAUCCCAGCUAUUCGGGAGGCUGAGGCAGGAGAAUCGCUUGUACCCGGGAGGCAGAGGUUGCAGUGAGCUGAGACCGCGCCAUUGACUCCUGCCUGAUGACAAGAGAGAAUCUACGUCUCAACAACAACAACACGCUUGGGCACUGUAUUAACUCCAUAAUCGUCCUUUUCCAGGCAGGAAAUAUAACACUGACCAGAGAACCAAGUUCCUCUCUUGUAUGGAUUGUUUCUGUUAAUUAUCACUCAAAUCUGAACGGUGUGGUAGGACGGAGGGAUACCUUGAAAUCUAAGAAAAGGGGAAAAAAGUGCAAUCGCUACAGUGAUACUUUAGCAGAAGUUUCUAUUGCUAAGUAUUGUGGAGCUCAGAGGAAGAAGUAAAGGCUUCAAGACGUUGAACUUUAAGCUGAGUCUUGAAGGCGGAGUCUUCAAGUUAAAGAAGAGGGGUUAAGGAAAGUCCAGGGAGAAGGAACUGCAUGAGCUGUGAAGAACCAUGAUGCAUUCUUGGAAUUGGUAGCAUUCCCUUUGAAAUAUGGAUUGAAACCCAGGAAGCAUGAAAGAAACAAGAAUUCAAAACUUUAAAUUAAGACAAGACUAUGGUAAAGAGUUUGGCAUUGAACAUUCAGGAAAUGUAACAACUAGAACGAGUAUAAAGGGAAUAAAAUGCAAUUUGUGUUUUUA
rnacentral:lncRNA from 1 species